rnacentral:pre_miRNA from 1 species
UCAAAUCAAAUUUGUAUGGAGUUGUGUGAACGUUUGCCGCUAGGGGCGCUGUUUAAACUUCAUACAAAUUUGAGUUA